AACGAACGCUGGCGGCAUGCCUAACACAUGCAAGUCGAACGAACCCUUCGGGGUUAGUGGCGCACGGGUGCGUAACGCGUGGGAAUCUGCCCAAAGGUUCGGAGUAACACAGAGAAAUUUGUGCUAAUACCGGAUAAUGUCUUCGGACCAAAGAUUUAUUGCCUUUGGAUGAGCCCGCGUUGGAUUAGCUUGUUGGUGAGGUAACGGCUCACCAAGGCGACGAUCUAUAGCUGGUCUGAGAGGAUGAUCAGCCACACUGGGACUGAGACACGGCCCAGACUCCUACGGGAGGCAGCAGUGGGGAAUAUUGGACAAUGGGCGAAAGCCUGAUCCAGCAAUGCCGCGUGAGUGAUGAAGGCCUUAGGGUUGUAAAGCUCUUUUACCAGGGAUGAUAAUGACAGUACCUGGAGAAUAAGCUCCGGCUAACU
rnacentral:rRNA from 1 species